rnacentral:rRNA from 1 species
UAUCUCUGUAGAGUCUGCAUAUCAAUAAGCGGAGGAAAAGAAACUAACUAGGAUUCCCUUAGUAACGGCGAGUGAAGCGGGAAGAGCUCAAAUUUGAAAUCUUCAGGGUUCUACCUUGACGAAUUGUAGUUUAAAGAAGUGUUUUCUGUUGGAGUUUUGGUAAAAGUUCUUUGGAAUAGGACAUCAUAGAGGGUGAGAAUCCCGUAUUUGACCAUUAUUUCCAGCUUUGUGAUACACUUUCAAAGAGUCGGAUUGUUUGGGAAUGCAGUCCAAAAUGGGUGGUAAAUUUCAUCUAAAGCUAAAUAUUGGCGAGAGACCGAUAGCGAACAAGUACCGUGAGGGAAAGAUGAAAAGAACUUUGAAAAGAGAGUUAAACAGUACGUGAAAUUGUCAAAAGGGAAGCGUUUGACACCAGUGUUGUUUUCUCGAAAAUUAAUUAAAAAAGGCAGGAUUUUGUGUUGUAUUGACUUUAUCAGCUUUCUGCACUCUUUUCUUGUCUUUUUUAAUGCACUUUUCGUUUAACAAGUCAACAUCAAUUUCUUUUGUUGUAAAAGGGUCAUUGGAAGGUGGCUUUCUUUUCGGAGAAAGUGUUUAUAGCCUUUGGCCUCUGCAAUCGGAGAGAUUGAGGUCUGCAGCGUAGAUCCUUCGGGGUUAGAUACAUUUGUGCUAAGUUAUAGCCUUUCAUAGACAACUUGUUGACUAUGAUCAGUCAUGUAGCUUACUCGCUUAUGCUAUUUUACCUACGCUUAGGAUGUUGAUAGUCACAGCGUGUAC